UACGAAGGGGGCUAGCGUUGCUCGGAAUCACUGGGCGUAAAGGGUGCGUAGGCGGGUCUUUAAGUCAGGGGUGAAAUCCUUCGGCUCAACCGAAGAACGUCGGCCGAUACUGCCGUUCUUGAGGGAUGCAGAGGAGAUUGGAAUUCCCGGUGUAGCGGUGAAAUGUGUAGAGAUCGGGAGGAACACCGGUGGCGAAGGCGGGUCUCUGGGCCGAUACUGACGCUGAGGAGCGAAAGCGUGGGGAGCGAACAGG
rnacentral:rRNA from 1 species